GGAUGGUCGGGUGUCCUAUCCAGAGUUCCUUGUGGUCUGGAAAUACAAAAAAUAAAUUUGUGAAUUUUCUUCUUCUUAUCAUUCCGGUUGUUUUUUGAUGUAGAUUAAGUACGCAUUUUUUGCGUCCAUUUCUGUAGAUUAAUGUGAAAUUGUGAAGUAUAUGUUAACCAUUUGUUUCAAAAAUGUUAUGCUGGGUUUUUUUCUAUUUUGGAAUUGUUGGUGUUUUUUGUUAUAAUGUUAGUCUUAUGUCAGAUCUGGUGGCAUCUGCCCAUAUUAACAAGCAUCCAACUUCAAGUCAAUAAUCAAGAAAAACAUGUUUAGAAAAAUAACUUUUCUGUGCCAAAACUGGUUUAAAUUCUUAUUGCAAAUGUUAUUAUUAAAUUCUAUGUGCUUCUGCCUUCUGUACUUAGGAAUAGUUUGUUUCUAAGUUUUAUUUAUAUAUAGAUGUGAUUUUAAUAUGAAAAUAAAGCAUGCAUAAAUCUUAA